rnacentral:rRNA from 1 species
UACAGAGGGUGCAAGCGUUGUUCGGAAUUACUGGGCGUAAAGCGCGUGUAGGCUGCGGAGUAAGUCGGAUGUGAAAUCCCUUGGCUUAACCAAGGAAGUGCAUCCGAUACUGUUUCGCUUGAGUGUCGGAGGGGAUGGCGGAAUUCCCGGUGUAGAGGUGAAAUUCGUAGAUAUCGGGAGGAACACCUGUGGCGAAGGCGGCCAUCUAGACGACAACUGACGCUGAGACGCGAAAGCGUGGGUAGCAAACAGG